rnacentral:tRNA from 1 species
GCCCGGGUGGCGAAACUGGUAGACGCAGCGGACUUAAAAUCCGCCAGCCGCGAGGUUAUGCCGGUUCGAGUCCGGCCCCGGGCACCA